GACUGGGCAGCAGAACUAUUACGGAGGCUUCUCCUCCACUCAGAACAGCCUUCUGUGCACCAACUACACGUAACAGCCUGUAAAUAACAGCUCAGCUGCAGUCUGACACAGUGGAGGCUCUUCAGGCUCUCUGCUCCACCCUGGUGUUCAGUCCUGAAGGUUGGAGCACAGGGACAGUUCAGGCUCCAGCAGUCAGCUGACAUUUGAUCAGGGCAACAAACUGCUCCACCAGGAGGAGGCGCUG